CCUACGGGAGGCUGCAGUGGGGAAUAUUGGACAAUGGGGGGAACCCUGAUCCAGCCAUGCCGCGUGUGUGAAGAAGGCCCUCGGGUUGUAAAGCACUUUCAGUGAGGAAGAACGCCUGGUGGUUAAUACCCAUCAGGAAAGACAUCACUCACAGAAGAAGCACCGGCUAACUCCGUGCCAGCAGCCGCGGUAAUACGGAGGGUGCGAGCGUUAAUCGGAAUUACUGGGCGUAAAGCGCGCGUAGGUGGCUUGAUAAGCCGGUUGUGAAAGCCCCGGGCUCAACCUGGGAACGGCAUCCGGAACUGUCAAGCUAGAGUGCAGGAGAGGAAGGUAGAAUUCCCGGUGUAGCGGUGAAAUGCGUAGAGAUCGGGAGGAAUACCAGUGGGGAAGGCGGCCUUCUGGACUGACACUGACACUGAGGUGCGAAAGCGUGGGUAGCAAACAGGAUUAGAUACCCUGGUAGUC
rnacentral:rRNA from 1 species